rnacentral:rRNA from 1 species
CUAGCGACUUCAGAGUUUGAUCCUGGCUCAGGAUGAACGCUGGCGGCGUGCUUAACACAUUCAAGUCGAACGGUGAGACCCUUUCGGGGGUUGAUCAGUGGCGGACGGGUGAGUAACGCGUGAGCAAUCUGCCUAUGUGAGGGGGAUAACGUUUGGAAACGAACGCUAACACCGCAUGAAGCAUUUGAUUCGCAUGUAUUGAAUGCCAAAGAUUCUAUCGCACAUAGAUGAGCUCGCGUCCCAUUAGAUAGUUGGUGAGGUAACGGCCCACCAAGUCAACGAUGGGUAGCCGGACUGAGAGGUUGAACGGCCACAUUGGAACUGAGAAACGGUCCAG